UUUAUUGAUUAUACUAUUCAAUAACACAUUUAUGAAAUUCUCAAUUUAGUAAUGAAAAUAUCACUUUAGUUUGAAUAACAACAUCGUCCUGAUAUAAAUACACUACCACUUAUCCAUUUACUUUAAUUCUUUUGGGCCCAUUUGUCACUUACCAUCCUUAAUCAAAUUAGGGAACGGUCACGGAAAAUUGAGUACUUCACUUUCACUUUGCCAUAGUAUAACUAUGGUCUUACGUAUGAUCACUUAUCACUUGUCCCUGAUCAGAUAAGUGUAGCCACCUAUCACUUUUCACUUUCCACUUGUCACUUGAUCAGAUAAGUGUAGCUGAAGCUAUCACUUAUCACUUUGUCACUUGAUCAGAUAAGUAUAGCCGAAGCUAUCACUUAUCACUUUGUCACUUGAUCAGAUAAGUAUAGCCGAAGCUAUCACUUAUCACUUUGUCACUUGAUCAGAUAAGUAUAGCCGAAGCUAUUACUUAUCACUUUCUACUUGUCACUUGAUCAGAUAAGUGUAGCUAAAGCUAUCACUUAUCACUUUGUCACUUGAUCAGAUAAGUAUAGCCGAAGCUAUUACUUAUCACUUUCCACUUGUCACUUGAUCAGAUAAGUGUAGCUAAAGCUAUCACUUAUCACUUUGUCACUUGAUCAGAUAAGUAUUCAAAUCCGGCGUUCCGCUCAAUUUGAUCAUUUAUUCAUAUAUCAGGCUUACCAACAUGUGUUAAUUCAUAAACCAUUCAUGGUAUUAUUUCAUGCCAAAUCAUAUACUGAAUAUACCAUACACACAUACUAUGAAACUUUAUUUUCACACAUGAGCUUAAACCAUGACCAAUAAUGCACAAAAAUAAGCAUCAUUCAUAUUUCAUCGUUUAUGAGUUAUAAUCAAACAUAUGACCAUUUAUACACGAAUCAUUCAUAUAUUUCCCAAUUUUCCUCCUCCUCCUCUACAUUCCACAUCCUUAAUGUGCAUAACACACUUAAACAACAUUAACCAUAAUUUCA
rnacentral:lncRNA from 1 species